AGCAGUCGCCACGGGAAUACGUAGGGUGCGAGCGUUAAUCGGAAUUACUGGGCGCAAAGCGUGCGCAGGCGGUUAUAUAAGACAGAUGUGAAAUCCCCGGGCUCAACCUGGGACCUGCAUUUGUGACUGUAUAGCUAGAGUACGGUAGAAGGGGAUGGAAUUCCGCGUGUAGCAGUGAAAUGCGUAGAUAUGCGGAGGAACACCGAUGGCGAAGGCAAUCCCCUGGACCUGUACUGACGCUCAUGCACGAAAGCUAGGGGAGCAAAUGGGAUUAGAUACCCCUGUAGUCCCUGUCUCUUAUAA
rnacentral:rRNA from 1 species